CUGAAAACUAGAGAUAGAAAACCGAAUCCUAAAUUCUUCUCUUUGAAGAAAAUACCUUUCUGAGUGUUUUCUUCAAAGGCUUCUCAGGAGACGCAGAGAGCUGUGGUUUUGAGCAUCUGUGUUGGAGCCAUUCCCUCUCUCCCUUCUGCUCUCCAGCCUCCAAGUUUCUAUGGUGAUAUUUCCUCUUCACAGUGAUUAAUAAUAAUAAUAAUGGCAAUAUUAACAGAAGCAGCAAACAGUAAUGACUCGGCUAAAGAAGCUGUCAUACUAAAUAACUUGAAACCUACAGAACAACGUCAGCUUUGCCUCCUGAGAUGCCGUCUUGCAGCAGGACAUUUUUCUUUUUUAAUUUUGCAUGGUGUAGAGUUACUAAUUAUAUAACUUGAGAAAGAGACGUGUAUCCAGUCUCCAUUAUCAUCCUACAGAGAAACAGAACACUGAAUUCUAGUGCCAAAUAUAUCAUUUAGAGUGCAAUAUCAGCUCUUCAAAGAAAAGCAUAAUUUCUUGGACUGGAGAAGCAACAGUGAAAAUCAUGGUUUUCAUGAACCAUUUGAUCACUGUCUAAGUUAAAACGGGUCAUUCUCUACCCUUGCUGAGUUCACUUAGGAAAAAAGAAAAGAAAAUGGGUCUUCUCCUGGUUUUGUUAUUGCUGCGAUGUUCCUUUGUCAUGCUAAUGGCUUCGUGUGUGUGUGUGUGUGUGUGUGUGUGUGUGUGUGUGUGUGUCUGUAUUCACUCAUUUGCACUUUGUAGCAUGCUUCUCUAAUCUUUGUAUACCCUCAGGGUCGUUAGGACCAAGGCUAUCACCUGUAGCUCUACAGAUAGUACCCCGUGCAACCCCACUGCAUAGGGGGAUGAAUCCUUGAAUGAAAAUCUGUACCACUGUCAAGUUUAAUACAGCCCCUAAUAUAUAAGGGAAAAAAAGCCAUCUUCUUUCUCUUCUGCAAGGAAAUAAAUAGGUUAGGUUAAGCAAGAACAAAGUUCUUAGAUAAGAUGGAAGGAGUCUAUUGAAAAAGUGGCAAUACUUCUACCAUUGGUGGUCAGUGGAAUUUUAACAAAGAAUAAAAGGUAGUGCUACCUGGCCUUAGGUAGAUGAGGUAGUUUUAUAACCUUGAGCGCAGACCUGGGAGUUUCCAAAGACCUCAAGGCAGCUAUGGAAUCCUGGGGCCUGAGCAGGAGGUAGCCCUCCCUGUCCUGGGUCACCCUAGCUCUACUUUUCUCUUUGGUUGGAAACCCUUUGGUUCUGGCAAUGCCACCGUCACCUCUCAGAGUGACUGUGGCCAGGGGAAGCAAAGAAACCCACCUUCUUCAUUUGCUUUGCAUUUUCUGCAUUUAUAGUUUUCCCAGACUUUUAAUAUAUUGAAUCAUGCAACCUUACACAUUGUGCUAAAACUUUUAGGUAGUAUCAGAGGUUCUAAUUUGAGUCUAGUUUAAUUUUCUGGGGGGUUGUGCCCAGACGUGGGCAUUUUUAGAAAGCUCUCCAUUGAGCUUACCAUUUCUUGUGAGUUGAGAAAUGCUAGGGUUUAAAUCCAGACUCUGGGGCUGGGGCUCUUCACCAUCUACCUGCAUAUUUUGCACUCUUGCCCAUUCUGUGUUACCAGUGCACUCCUCCCAGUUCUUUACAAACCUCCAUUGGACAUCUUUCAGUAUGGCCACUCUUAAAGCUGGAGACUCCUCUUGGCAACUAGAAAAAUAUGUAUGGGAAGGGGCAGAUUGUUUGCCUGGGCUGUCUUCAUAUGACCUAGUGCUCCUUCUGAUGGGACAGAAAAGCCAGUCUGCCCUCUCCCUAGGACCUCCAGCUUAGUCGGUGCAUCAGGCCAAUCCUUGCCUUUGAGAGUAUUGUGAGGUCUGUAGCUAGCCUUCGGAUGAUUCAAACAUCGUCUGAAUGCAAUCCGAAUGCCUUUAUUGAAUGCUAGAUUCCAACUAUGCAUCAAAGCUGGCAGAGGAACUGUUGGCAGCUUGUCGCUCAAUCUGGACACAGGAAAAAUUAUCAGAGAAGGCAGUUUUGCAAGUGAGAUGAGCAACAGCAAAAAUUGCACUAAGUGAAGCAAGUUGAAGUCUGGGGAUUAGUAGGUCUGUCUUGUGAAUAGACUGCUGCAGUUUAAUAACUGAGAAGUGUACACUGGGUUAUGUAUCGAGAUUCGUGUAUGAGAAAUCCUGCUAUGGUUUGAAUGACCCCUCCAAAACUCCUGUUGAAACUUAAUCUCCAAUGUGGCAGUAUUGAGGGAUGGGUCUUUUAAGAGGUGUUUGGGUUAUAAGGGCUCUGCCCUCAUGAAUGGAUUAAUCCACUCAUAGAUUCUUAGAUUAAUGAGUUAUCACAGGUGUGGAACUGCUGGCUUUGUAAGAGGAAGCGAAACGUGAGCUGGCAUGCUGAGCACCCUCACUAUGUGGUUCACUGUGCUGCCUGGGGAUGCUGCAGAGAGGCCCCACCAGCAAGUCCCCGUCUCGCCAGAUGUGUCUCUGUGACAUUGGACUUCUCAGCCUUCAUUACUGAAGAAAACACAGCACUAAGGAAGAGAAAAGAGACACUUCAUUCUCUGCCACAAACAACAUGUGAAUCAAUCCCUGAAACAGGUUUUCACAAAAAAGUAAUUUUUGGAGAGAAAUGCCUUUGAAUAAGUAAGUGUCCUGGAUUCAGACUUCCUGAGACAAAAUGUAAUCACAGCUGCUUGGUCAAAACCACCCAUCCAUGUGCCUUUCAGGAGAAAUCACUACCACAGGUUUCCAGCCUUGCUGGGUUCCCCCGUUCACAUGAACCUUGAUGCCCACAGUCUACCUGGUGCUGGUGAACCAGCAUACAGCACACCUGGCCUCCAGAUGCAAGACCGACAAUCAACAAACACAUAGGCACUGUCAUGUAAUGUUAUGUGGUGCCAAGUGCUGGUGAAGACAAUGAAGCAUAUCAUGGGCAGUGGAUUAUGGGAGGACCAAGGAUAGGGGAGGGUGAAAUACUUUAGAUAGAGUUGUUCAGGAAAGGCCUGUCAGUUCCAGGUUAUAAAUUAAGUAUGUAGGCUGGCCCUUUUUGCAUAGCCAAAAUCUUGGCAUUAAUUCUGCAAAUAAAAUUAUUCAGUUUUCUAAAAAAAGAAGAUUUACUAGCCCUGGCUGAAAUUUAAGAAAGAAUUUAUAGUUCUCACUUUUCCCCACCACCUCCGCAACCCUUUCUUUCUUUCCUCUCUCCUUUCUCUCUCAUCUGUUCACCAGUCUCUUGUCUUGACUACCUUCUCAUAGCUGGGGGAAAGCAAAUGCACAAUGCCUCUAUUCCUUUCUAAAUAAUUCUUUGGAAAAUAUUUGUCAAGUCCUAAACUCUCUUAGGAGAAAGAAAGAAACCAGCCAGGCAGGCAGUUAAGGUGGGCCCUUAAUAAAAAUUUCUUCAAAGAACAGCCAGAAAAUCAAACUGUAGGCCCUAGAUGAGAAAGAGCCUGUCUCCUUGAAUGGAAACACUCUGUGAACCCCGAUGAACAAAUUCUAUCCCUUUUUGGACACAUUUCUCUCUCCUUGGUAUGCCUUAGUCACUUACUUUUGCCUAUUUUACACAAGCCUACCUUUCUGUAAUUAGCUGUGGGCUAAGUCUUCAUUUACAUAGGGUGAGUCAUCACUUUAGCCCCUGAUCCGUCCCAGGCCAAGGUCCCGGGCCAGUCCUUCAGCUCUGCCUCUAAUUGGUUCUUUAUACUCUGAUACAUCUUUGUAAGUGGUGCUUUUUCCAAAAUGGCUUGCAGACCAGUCAGCAGAGUCCUCCCCUUCCCAUUUAGUUAUUAAACUUUCAUUCCAACCUCACCCUUUGUGUCCACACUCCUUAAUUUUCUGGGUCAGGAGGCAAAGAACUCUGGGAUACCUCAAAGAAAAGACUGCUACAUUGUGGUGCAUUUGCAAGACUGUAACAUUAACACUACUCGGAAAAUUUGCUACAACCAACCUCUGCUGUUUCAUCUUUCUGGGCUCCCAGUAAUGUAGAUUUUAUAAUGGAUAUCUGGAGCUCUGGCCCAGACCUCUAUCAUGCCUACAGAAAGAACAUGGACCCCUGCUGAAAACAAAACAAACUGCGAAUCUGAGUUCUGUACUGAUGUCGCAAGAUCCUCACACAGAAACACUGCGUCUAAAUAAGGGAUCAUUUGGAUUAAAAGUAAAGGCUCUGAGAGGAAUUCAGUGUCCCACUUGUGGGUUUAUGCAACAACAAAGGACUUCAGAAGGCAAAUAAUCACAGCCUUGUCGGCCUGCAGUGAGGAGCGGGACGGGACCCACCUUCAAGAGUGCCCUCAUUUGAACACUUGAGUGAAUAAAUACUUGAUGCUGUUUACCAAGAGUCCUUAUCCUUUCCAUCUCUCAUUCAUAUAACCCCCCUACCAAAUUAUGGACACCCAUGAAACUCUGAGAAGCAGCAGCAAAAAUCUGUGCUCUGAGCAUCAACAUCUUGAAACUUAACUUCAUUUGAUUAUACAUCACUCUCUCUCAGAAAGGAACUCGCCAGUUCUAACAGCCCUCUUACUGGGAAGCCAGCACAGAGAUUUCCCUUUUUCCCAGAGGUAGGAAGAAGAUUUUAGUAUUUCACAGUAACACUUGAGCAAGUUAUUAGGGGCAUUCAUUGCCUAACUGCUGGCUGUUUCCUUAUUAUUUCUUCCAGAACCUUUGGCCUCUGAUCAGCUCUUUGAAAUAUAGACUGGUCCUGAAACCACCUUUGCAAAAAUUAUAACUGAGACAAUGAUUACAGUGACGAAGAUCUGACCUAACAGACUCCGUCUGGCUUCUAACCUCCAAGCUGGCCGUGUUCGUUCCUGGGCGUAGGCUGAACUAACUUGGGAGCAGCUUAGUUUAUAGUUUAGCAUUGAAACAAAGACAAUUACCACCCUUUCUCAAACAAACCCCCUUCCUGCCAGGGGACUAGACUGCCUUUGUAGGACUAACAAAUUAGCUACAAGAUUAGAAAUUAUGGUUUAGGAGUCAUGUGGAGGCUACAAGAUUCAAAACCUCCCAAAUUGCUCCUCAGGAUAACAUCACGAUUGUAAAACCUAACAUCAGUGCUUGAGAUGUUUUGCAGACCCUGCACUCGAUGGAUCAGCUGGCACCACCCAGAUCUAUAAACUGGCUCAUCUGGGCUUAUGGACUCCACCCAGGAACUGACUCAGAGCAAGAGGACAGCUUCGACUCCCUAUGAUUUCAUCUCUGACUUGACCAAUCAGCACUCCCCACUUUCUGACACCCUACCUACCAAAUUAUCCUGAUCUGAGGAAUAAUAAAACUCCUAGCUCCCAUACAGCUGGCUCUGCAUGAAUUGAAGUCUUUCUCUAUUGCAAUUCCCCUAUCUUGAUAAAUCAGCUCUGUCUAGGCAGCGGGCAAGGAUACCCCGCUGGGUGGUUACAGUCCCUGUCUUUGGGUGGUGGGAUCUCAUAAAUACUGGGAAGCAUAUUGACAGGCCCACAGAACCCAUUCUGUGCUUUCUACUGGGUCUGCUGGAAAGUUUGCAGGGACACCUGUUUUCCUCUUUGUCCUGGGCAGCAGCUGCUCCCACAGAACAGAUACACAGUCUCUAGGGAAGGGGUGGCACACGCUGGUCAGUCCCCUUGUUUCUACUGCCUUUACCACCCUCCUGUGAAUGUUUUCUUUCCUGCCUUUGUUUUUCUUCACCUGUUUCAUGUCAAGGACCCAUGGAGUUUAGGCAGUUCCUUUUGCCCUGCUUCCUCCAUCUAAUGCUUACUAUCCAUAAGCAUUUGUAUUUGGAAAGCAGACUGCAUCCUGGUUUCCAGAUCAUGUCGAUUUUAUGCAUUAUUUUUAACCAGAGAAUCUGCAGCUCCCAGUGGUCAAUCUCUUCCAUCCUGUCUUCCACGAAAGGGUUAACCUUAGGAAGCCUGUAAAGGCAGCACUGCUUCCCUUCUGUGCUCUUGGGCUGAUAGGCUGCAGGGCUGACCAUAUUAGGAGUGUGUGAAGAUUCAGCUCUGGGUAUACACAGCGGGAGCUCUCCUGUCAGUCUGAAAGGCAGGAGCUAUAUUUAGUAACAGGCACUUGGGGAUAGCAGCUUAAACGUGGGAGUGGGUUGCUGGAAUGCAGAUGUGUAGUCAAUUUCUACUCCAAUCCCCAUGGAAGCUUUAAGCUGAAGCCUUAGAAGAGAUCUGGGCUCUUCUUCCCCCUACCUUCUCCAAAUUGUCUGGGUGGCAUCCUUUGCAAGCCUAGAAAGCACAAUGCAGUUCCUCUUGGCUCUGCUCCUUUUUAAACAUGGAGGAAGAGAAUUGUGAUUGUUGAACGAAUCAUCACUCAAAAUGUUGUGAACAGUGAUUUUUCUCCCCUAAUCCUUUACCUCCCUUCCCAUGUCUGGUUAACUAACCACUAAUACGAUGAAUGGAAUAAUUUUAUCGCCCUGUGAUUUCUCCCCUUAGCAAAUAAAAAUCAUCUCUCUUUUGUUUUGCAGGAAAUGCAUUUUCGGUAACAGAAGUAUUUUAUUGUAGGUUAUAGAGGGCCUUGGGUCUAUGUAUGUCUUCUUUAUAGAAUGUGAUUAUAUAAUCAGAACAUAAUUAUUAUGUAUGAAGUUAUUUCUUACAAGUCCAUGCAAAUGUGUACAAAAUUCUAAGAGAGUGAAAAGAAAAAAUAGUCUUAUAAAGUUGUUAAUGCAUUUGAUGGUGUGGAAGCGAAUGCCUGUUUAAUUCAUUCCUGGCAGCUCUAUCUUAAGGGUAAUUUGUUUAUCUAGAAAUGAUCAGUUCCAGGGAAGCUUUUGGGCUUUCUUUAUUUUUUCUUUCCCUCCCUCCCUUCCCUUUCUCUCUGUCUCUGUCUUUCUCUCCCUCUCUCUCUGUCUUGGCUAAAUUUGCCAUUUCAAUUGACUGAGACUUUAGUUUGAAAGAAUUAAAUGAAUAGGCUAAGGUCAUUUCUAACUUUGAGGCUUGGGAAACAUGUAAACAUUUAGAAUAUGGAGUUCUCCUUGUUUCCACAUAUUUACAUCUGCUGGUAAUCUACUUAAUUUCCUCAGAUUAUUUGGUAGAGGGAUGGAGAGUUCUAGUCAGACUAUCACAUAGGCCUAAAGCUCUGACUGGGAAGACCAUUUGACUAAAAAGCCAAAGCCCUUGUUUUUUUCACCACCAUCUACUACAGCCAGAAUGCUUUCACUUUUGAGCUCCAGCUGGGAAGAUGUGAAUGGAUUAUUUAGAUGGCUCUGGUUAAAAGUAACAAAGUGUAGUCUGAUCUAAUACAUGUGAUUGUCUGGGGAUCCUUGUUAGAAAAGAAUCUGAAGAGAUUUAGCUGAGUCAGCAUACUCUCUUGGUGGCAGUGAUAGGAUUCCGCAAAAGUGCCCACAGCAAAUAUAAGAUGUACACUGUGGCCACAGAUGGGAAAUACGGUUAACCGUGGCACUCCGUACAGACCCACAGGGAGAUGGAAAAGCUGGGGGUGGGGCAGAUAUUGGAGUUGGAGUAGAUUCAAUAGAGAAGGGAAGGAAAGACAACCAGGAAGGCUAAGGAUUACAGAUAGCCAGGGAGAGGAAGCCCAGGAAAAGCUGGAGUCAGGAGGACACCCCACCAGAGAUGAUGGUGUCUGCAGAGGCAGGAAGGUAGAAUACGGCAUUAGGGAACUUCGCAAAGUAGUGUUGAGAGAUCCAGACCGGCAGUGAAGUUGGUGAGGUGGCUAACCAGGUGCUAGUUUGCUACCAUCAUCUUGGGGUGGUAGUUUGAAUGCAGGGGGAGGGGAGAAGGGAAAAAGGGAAUGCAAGGCAGAGAUGCAUUCAUUGAGGAACAAAAAAUGCUGAAGACUUCAAGAUGAAGAUUCAGAGAUAAAUCAGUAAGAAUCUAGCUU